rnacentral:rRNA from 1 species
GACGGACGCUGGCGGCAGGCUUAACACAUGCAAGUCGAGCGGGCGAGGUUGCUUCGGUAACUGAGCUAGCGGCGGACGGGUGAGUAAUGUCUGGGAAACUGCCCGAUGGAGGGGGAUAACUAAAGGAACGCUAAUACCGCAUACGUCCUACGGGAGAAAGCAGGGGACCUUCGGGCCUUGCGCUAUCAGAUGAGCCUAGGUCGGAUUAGCUAGUAGGUGAGGUAAUGGCUCACCUAGGCGACGAUCCGUAACUGGUCUGAGAGGAUGAUCAGUCACACUGGAACUGAGACACGGUCCAGACUCCUACGGGAGGCAGCAGUGGGGAAUAUUGGACAAUGGGCGAAAGCCUGAUCCAGCCAUGCCGCGUGUGUGAAGAAGGUCUUCGGAUUGUAAAGCACUUUAAGUUGGGAGGAAGGGCAGUAAGUUAAUACCUUGCUGUUUUGACGUUACCGACAGAAUAAGCACCGGCUAACUCUGUGCCAGCCGCCGCAGUAA